AAAAGGAUUCUUCAGUUCUUUCAAAUGGUAGAACACCUUCUAUAAAACUUCAUCUGAAAUAAUGAAGGCUGUGAGACUCAUGUCUCUUCUGGUUUUGUUCAGCUAUGUUCAAUGUCAAACUCUUCUGAGAAGUUUCCUAGAUGCAGGUAGGAAAUCCUAUUUACAGUCUACACAUUCCGAGUGCCAGGAGUAAGAGGUAAUGACUACUGCAGUGCAUAUUUGGAAGACUUACUUUUCUCAGUGUGCAUCACUGACAACAGGGUCAUUGAAAAUUGCUGGACAUUAUCUUGUGGAAUGAAUAAAGAAAGAGAGCUAAUAUAUUGAGACAACGACAGGAAGAGCUCACUCCAGCCUUAAUUUCUGUGUAGAUAGCUGCUAAGCAUUUUAGAAGCUAUUAAUACAAGAAGGAAGAUAUUGUUUUCAGUAGAUAACAUGUAUGUGAACAUGGUGAGUACAGGAGAUGAAGAAGAUGCAGCCAUAUAGCACGCUAGUAGCCAGAAUUAUCUGGAGGAUAACUUAAGAGACAUAAAUCCACUUAUGAAGAAGUACAGACCAUAGUUAAAGAGUUGCUAGGUUUUGUGGAGAAGUGCAAGAGCCUCAAGCUACAUGAGUCACCUUCAGAAUGCUCUCCCCAGCUGAUGACUACCUUCUUAGAGCACAUUUGUAAUAACCAAGGAAUGGCUGACAAACAUGUUCCUUCUGACUGUUGCAAGACAAAUAGCACAGCAAGACCCAAGUGCUUCCUAUUAAGUAAAAAAGAUGAUGCAUGUUACAGGGACACCUUCCAAAUUCCAAAUUCUGAGCAGAUCAGUGAGAUGAGCAAAGAGAACCCAGUAACAGUGAGGAAGAGGUACAUUUAUGAAACUUCCAGAAAGCAACCAUUCUUAUAUGGACCCAUUAUUCUGACCAUGUCUAUGUGUUAUGAAAGAGCUAUUCAGUCUUGUUGCCAAGAAGAAAAUAAGACAGAAUGCUUCCUGAUAAAGCUAGACCCCAUCGGAAAAUACAUUGGAGACAUCUCUUUGAGGCAUCACCAUUGAUGUAAAAUUGGGAUUAAAUUCAACCACAAAGUAGUAAAAGCAGUAUCUUAUAUGGCUGUGUUUCUUCUUAUGACUGAAGAAAUGGAGAGCAUUGAGAAUACACUCUCCCCAGCCUUUCUGCAAGUGCACUUCUAUCCCUUUGGUUACUCAACGAACUACAACUAAUUUUUUAGAAAGGAGCAAAUUCAUAAUAUUGUUGAGAAGAGGCAGUUCAUGAACUACACCUGCUCUAAACAGGCUAUCCUACCCAGCAGUACUGCCCCGUGCUGUGCACUGCCAAUGACGGUCCAAGGGGAAUGCAUUAUCAACUCAGAAAGUGACCACAAGCCUGCUCUUUCAUCCCUGCCCCUCAGCCAGUUUACAGAAGACUGAUUUGUAUGCAAACGAUUCCCUGGCAAGCAAGAUGAUUUCCUCUGAGAGUAGUACAGAUUUUUGCUCCUGGUCCUUUAUACUAAGAAAACUCCACAACUAUCUGCUCAAGAGUUGGUUUCAUUCAUGAAGAACAUGGCAGCUUCUGCCACCAGAUGUUGCCCUCUGGGUGAUGAACAACAGUUUGUUUGCAUGGAGGAUGUGGGAAGCACAACUUUGACUUCAUUUUUGCCUGUUCUAAUCUCUGACCUCCAGCAAUCAAUCUCAUGUCAGUGGACACAUCUAUGAAGUCUCAAUGGAGCCUAAUAAUUCUGCCCUUGGAAGAAAUUCUUUCAACUCAGAUCAUGCCAAUUGGCUUGGAUUAGCUACAGGGUUAAGGCUAUCACUUCCCUAUCAUUUGGGAUGUCAGGUUCAACAGCCCUUUGCGUGGAUCACACCUCUGGGUCUAUUUCUUGGAUUUUCAAGUCAACAAAAGUGAUUUUGCCAGUAACUUCAAAGAUAAUGUGACUUUAAAUUAACUCACCCUAAUCAAAUGUAUAAGGGGAAAAAUGCCCAGUCUUCCUCCUGCAUUUAUCCUUUCCUCUCAGGCUACUAUCACAUUCACAACACUCUGACACCAGAUGUGUGGGUUUUUUCCCACAAUUCUCUGUGACACCAGCUGGGUGUCCUCCAAUUUAAACCAGUACUGACACUGUCUACCUGGAGACAGCCAGGGGUCAUACGUAGGAGGUCAAGGGCUCAGUUCCGUAAGAUUACUGCCUACCCUCUUCAGGUGACAAUUGCAAGUCUAGGCUGUAGCCUGUGCUUCAGACUGAUCGGCUAUACAGCAGAGGUUUCCCCAACUCCCUCCUAGGGUUUAAUUAAUUUGCUAGAGUGACUCGCAGACCUCAGACUUAAGCUUACCAGUUGGUUAAAGGAUAUGGUAAAGGAUGCAGAUGAACAACCAGUUGAAAACAUACACAGGGCAAACUCAACUUGAGGAUGAUUGGAAGAAGGAGGACAAGUCUCAGAACCAGGCUGCACCUGACACCCUUCUUUAUUUUUUCCCCAACGGUAAAAUCCAGGCUGAGCUGGCAGGCACUAGAAUUUGAGAAUACUUAAAUAUAACUGCAUUUUCUACAGGUAAGAAAAUAACAACCACGGACCUAACGGCUCUUGUUUUAAUUCUCUUCUGGGAAAGGCUAAACUAAUUCUUGGAGCUUUAUGCAGAAGACAUGAGGCACAGCCUGUCAAUGCUGGUGUGGGUCACUGUUGUGGUGACUCUUACACCUUCUGGAAGCUAUGCUUUGAUGAUCUGCAAGUCAACAAAACUUACGUUUCUCCACCUUUGUCCUGAAACCAAGUUAUCAGCUUUCAAGAGGAAAGCUUGUGCAAAGCUCAGGGAUUCCAAACUGAAUAGCAAAAGGAAGACUCUUUGUUGAAUUUGGUUUUUAUUGCUAACAAAGGAGCGGAUAUAGAGAACCACAGAGUGAGCAGCGAUAUAUGUACUGCAUAAUGGAUGGAGGAGCUGACCAUUAUGCUGGAGGUCAAGUAGCACUGAGAAUAGCAUGCAAUUUUGCAAUCGUGGCUAUCGCGGGUGCUACCACAACUUGAUCGGUUAUUGAGUUUGAAAUCUGUUAAUCAGAAAAUACUGACAGAGAAAUACAUUAAUAUAUUUUUUCCUAAAAUGUGAACUUCAGACAUUAGUUUUAUAAGGGGUCUGGUACAAAUAGGGUUCUAUGAUUAAAUAAGUUUGGGAAUGCUGUAUUUCCUUGCUCUUCUUAUAAUGUAUACCAACUAUUACUAAGGAACUCGAAGUCCUGCAAUAAUCUCUUUAGCCUGUUUUAGCUUAGCACCAUCUGGGCCAUAGAAACUAUUAAGAUUCUUCAGGACAAGAAUGCUGGGAAAGUGCUUUGGAACAUUUGAUUACAGUGAUGUUUAUCACUUUAUAGUAUAUAAGUACUUUUACAACUACUACUGUUAUUAGGAAUGACUAUUUUAUAUAUUUGGAAGAAUGGUUUGGAGAUGAUUACUAGUAGGUGGCAGCUGGGUUAUAUUGUAAUAAUGCCUGUGAAUUCAACACCUUGAUCCUAAUCUCCGCCUCCCCAUCCCCUAGACCCUGUGAUGCGGUUUCUUGCACUAGAUAAGGCUUUGAAAUAACAUCUCAGAAUAUAGAAAAAUAGGAUAUUACUAGAAACUCAAAAUACUGUAAAUAAAUAUUUAAAUGCCAUAUAUAAUCUUUCUAAAACACAUUGUGCAGUUCCUGCUGAAUAUUUCCAGUGCUGGGAAGACCAUUUGCUUAAAGCAGCCUAUUUAUCUUUACAUAUGCUUAACUAGCUCACUGUUUUUACGAAAUUGAAAUUUGUGUCACUGUCACUUCCAACUCAAUUUCUACUUCUGGAACUACAGAGAGAAAUACUUUACAGACAUUCUGUCAGCUGAGUGACGCUAGAUCCCUAUUAUUUGACUGCAAACUGAGGGUGAGGUAGGGCUGUUAUACUCUUGACCUGAAGGUGGGCCUCUUGGGGAAGGUGAGAGGAAUGGUGUGUGAUGCUUUCUGAAUUAUAUAUGACCCUGGAAAGGCACGUCUGUGUGUGUGUAUAUAUAUUAUGUAUAUGAUAUAAACAUGUAUAAUGCACACAGAAACAUUUAUAAAUUAGAAAAUUUUAUCCAUACAAGUUAUUUACAAAGUGCUGUUCUGACUUGAUGGCUGUUACUGAUACUGAAGCCUACUGAUCAGAAAUAUUGACAGCAUAUUAGAAUGCCUUUAUAUUUGAUCAGUUCUCCAAUAUGUGUUCUAUGUAAAAAGGGUUUCCUCAUAAAGUCAGCAACAGGAUUCAAUCCAGUGCUCUUUUCUGUUCUUGCUUUCAUAGCAUAUAUUAGAACAUUUCAUCAUUCUACUAUGUUGUCCACCAUCUUGCCCUCCUGCUAUUGCAUCCCAUUGCCAAAUCUCUUUCCCUUCACCUUUUCUCAUGUGAUAUGUUAGUAUUGUUUCAAAACAAAUUAACCAAAAUGUAUUAACCUAACAUGGCAUCAGUUGUUCAAGCAUCUGUGGGUUGAUUGGGUGAGUCUGGUGACCUGAACCAGCCUUAACCAUUCUCAGUGGGAUUGCACAAGAGUCUACGGUCAGCUGCUAAAUUAGCUGAGAGCUGGCAGCCUCGGCAACCAUAGCUUGUUUCUGCUGCAGGUGGCCCUCUCCAGUAAGCUAGCCCAGGCUUCUAUACAUGGUAGCUGGGAAAAGAAGGGGAAGUGUGGAGACCUCGUGAAGCUCAGGUGUGGGCUAUGCACUGCCAACUCUUCUAUGAGGCAGGUAAAGGUGCAUGGAAAAGACUUGACUUCUUGAUGAGAAGAAAUGAAAACUCAUGUUGUGAAGGACAUGGACAUAGGGAAAGGUGGACAAUUGGGUUCAUGUUUGUAAUCAAUCUGCCACGUGUGAAUCAUUAAUGUAGUUGGUGAUGAAUGUCAGGAUGAAUGGUGACAAUGAUGAAAGUCAGGAUAUGAUGAGAAGUGAGGCAAUUAACUAGGUCUGAUUUGAGGCCAUCACAAAUGAGGGACAUGACCAAGCUUCUUACACAUGAUAGGAAUAAAUAGGAUCAGGGUCUUAGAGUUUGAUGACAUACUUGGGAGGAACUAUGACUUUUAAAAGAGGAUGAAGGACAGAUGUGUUGGAAGCAGUAAAAGAACUAGAUGAUGUGAUAAGGUAAGUAGAGUUCAAGCAAAGAUAGCCUCCUCUUGACAGGUCUUAGGGAAGCUGUGUUCUCUGGGGAGCCACAUUUUCAUAUGGAGCAAGAAAGAGAAGUUAAGAAAAGAGGCUGUAGGUAUAGGAAAGUUUUCUGGUGAGAAAGUCUCAAGUUACAAAGAAGACAAAGGCUGAGUUAGGGCGGACUCGGAGAGCAAGAGAUGGGUCAGAUUAGGGAUGUAGAAACAUCAGUAUAAUGACAGAUGAGCUGAGAGACUUAGACUGCUGACUGAGGCAUGACCCGCUUGGCCUUGGAACUAGCACAUGCCGCACACACAACCCUAGGCCAGCUGCUCUUGCCCUUGGCUACCGACAGCUCACAGAUGGUGGACAUUUUCCCCAACUCUCCUAUGACAUCCAUAUAACUGGAUUAAAUGAACAUUUAUUAUCAGGUCUUAGAAAAGAGGCUGCUGCAGACAAAGAAAUGUCCUUCUUAGUGGCAUUAAUCACCCCACCCUACUCCUGAGCCUUGAGCCAAGAUAUUUCCAUAAUCCAGGCAUUCUCCCUUGGAAUGGGUUCUGCUGCUAAUGGAUGUGAUAUUAGAGGCCCACAAAAGGUAACUGUUCUAGGAAAAGCCAAAGGGUAAAAUCCUGGUUUCUCUGAGUCAGUAGGAUGCAUUGAACACCCUCCAACCUCUGACAAUGCAACAGUGUCCUGAUAGUGCCCACUGUGCUUCCCGCCCUCCUCACAUGCCCCCGAUCCUGAAAGGCAGGCCCAGGUCUUCCUGGUCCCUUCUCCACCAAGAGCAUUAGUGUGGUAGCUUAUUUCUGAUUAAUUUACUUACUCUGAGACUCACUUUUGCAGGGUCUGCAUAUUAUUAGUCCAACAAUAUCAUCUUGGCAAGUGAGGCAAAGUGUGUUUGUUGCCUUGGCAAUGAACACAUUCUCGUGGUCAGCAAGAACAAGGUUGUCACUCGUUCUUAUUUAUCAUAAUAUUUGCAAUUCACUAGCCAGCUGACCCUUGAACUCCUUUCUUCAUUUCCCAAGGUGACCUGAAUACAAACUAGGUUUCAAAACUUUCCAAUAAGCGCCCAAGGCACAUUGUAACAUUUAGUUAAUUGUUCUUUCUUUAACCCAGGCUUGACGUGGAAACGGGAGAAAGAAAUCCGUUUUACUGCUGCAAUGCAGGCUUUGCUUUCUCUUGAGGAAGUUCUCGGGGUAUAAAUAGGCACCACUCCAUGUAUGUGUAUUUCAUUAAAUUUAAAUUUAAUGAAAUUUAAAUUCCUACCACAAAAUUUAUGAGCUAGGUAAUGUUAUUCUGUUUGAAUUAUGAGGAAACUGAGGCUGUGAAGGGAAGAAGACCUGGCAUGAGAUCAUGCAACAAGUAACUAGGCUGCUGAGCUGCAACUUGCACCCAGGCAGUCCGGGUCAAAGAGCACAUGCUUAACUGUCAACACCUAGCAGAUAGUGCAUCCUAACCAAAGUGUUAUAACACCGGUUAUGUGUAAAACAUGGAGCUGUUCAUAUAAAGGCUAGGUAAAAAAAGUGGGGAAUAUUAGGAAGCAUCUCUGUCCCAGGGAAUUCAGUGUGUUCUCUGCAUAGUAACAUGGAGACAGUUAUUGUGGGGAUUUCUGGAAUAUUCUGUGUGGAUCCAUAUUGGAAAUCAAAGGCCAGGCUGGAGAACUAUCUUCCAACUUCCCGGUACAGUGUCCAGGACUCUCUCCAUGGGGUGCACCCCUAUAUAGUUCUGUCUGGCUACUGCAGCACCUGUUCUCUCUCACACACACACACAAGUGAAGGGGCUCCCGGAGGGGAAAGAAAUAUUCUUUCGUAUAUAUGUACCCCAGUUAUUUUAUCCACUGGUCUGUUGGUGGGCACUUGGGUUGCUUCCAUAGCUUGGCUGUUGUAAAUAAUGCUGCAAUGAACACAGGGGUACAUAUAUUUUUUUCAAAUUAGUGUUUUGGAUUUCUUUGGAAAUAUAUCCAGAAGUGUAAACACUGGGUCCUAAAGCAGUUCCGUUUUUAAUUUUUUGAGGAAAGUCCAUACUGUCUGUUCCCAUUCUGACACAUGGGAAGUGAUGUCACACUACGGUUUUAAUUUGCAUAUUUCUGAUGAUUAGUGAUACCAAGCAUCUUUUCAUAUGUCUAUUAGUUAUCUGUAUGUUGUCUUUGAAGUAAUGUUAAAAUCCACUUUUUCAUUGGAUUGGAUGGCAAUCCACUUUUUCAUUGUUUGUUAUUUUGGAUUAUCAUCCUUAUUGGAUGUAUCAGUGUCUUUUUCUAAUCAGUAGGUUGUCUUCAUUUUGUUGAUGGUUUCCUUUGCUGUAUAAAAACUUUUUAGUUUGUUGUAGUAUAUAUUUUUUAUUUUUAAAUUUUCACUUGCUAGAAGAGAUGUCAGAAAAAAUAUUGUUAAGAGAAGUGUCAGAGAUUGUAUUGCCUACAUUUUCCUCUAGGAGUUUUAUGGUUUCCAGUCUUACAUUUAGAUCUUUAAUCCAUUUUGAGUUUAAUUCUUGUAUAUGAAGUAAGAAGGUAGUUUAUUUCUGGCUCUCCAUUCUUCUGUUUAUCUAUGUAUUUGUUUUUAUGCCAGUACCAUGCUGUUUUGAUUACUAUAGCCUUGUAGUAUGGUUUGAUAGCUGGUAGUAUAAUGCCUUCUAAUUUGUUCUUCUUUCUCAAGAUAGCUGUGGCUACUUGAGGUCUUUUGUAAUUCCAUAUAAAUUUUUUGGAAUAUUUGUUCUAAUUUGAUGAAGAUCGCCAUUGCUAUUUUGAUGCGUUGAAUCUAUAGAUUGCUUAUGGUAUCAUAAACAUUUUAAAGAUGUUAAUUCUUCCUAUCCAUGAGCAUGGUAUAUGCUUCCACUUAUUUGUAUCUUCUUCAAUUUCUUUCUUCAGUGUUUUAUAAUUUUCUGAGUACAGGUCUUUUGCCAACUUGGUUAGAUUUAUUUCUAAGUAUUUUAUUUUAUUUUGAUGCAAUUGUAGAUGGGAUUUUUUUUUUUUUUAGUUUUUCUUUCUGAUAGGCAGCCUAGUAGUUAGGUUCGGUUCUCUUAAUGAUCUCUGGUGUUACUACUGCAAUUGUUUUGAGGUGCCAUGAAUGUUUAGGUAAGCAGUAAAAUAUCAGUUAAUAUACAUUUCCCCUACCCAUCACUGGGAAAAUGUAUGUUAUUUUUUUGUGUGUGGUUAAAUUGUUUUCCUUGUUUUCUUUGUGGUUAAAUCUCUUUUGGUUUAGGGCAGUAAAUUAAAAAGAAAAAAAGGAAAGAUAACAUCGGAAGAUUUGAAAUGAUAUUUUAUUAAAUAGACAAACUAGGUUACAAUUUUAAAUAUUGAAAAUGAUUGAAACAUUUGUUUAUAUAGUUGUGGGGGAAAUUUAGGCUAUAAGAGAAAAUUCGUGAUUGUGAAGCCAUUAUUGAAGUUUCAAAUUAGUUUAUUGGUUAUUAUAUUAAUAACAUCUGAGGGACCCCCAACUUCCACAUGUGUUAUGCUUGUAAUAUUUAUUUGAAAGCUAGCUAUUUAGAGUAAAUGUUGUUCAUAACAAAUAUUAUAGGGAAAAUUAUUUAAUAUAUAGCCUAUUUACCAUCCAAAUGCAAUGAAAAUAGAAAACAAAAACAUUUACCCUAGUAAUAAUAAUAUAAAAUUAAUUAAGGUUAUGAUAAUAAUUAUAUUGAACAGAUGAGCUUGAAGAAAAUUGUGUUAAAUAAAACAUGGGGAUGGAGAUGGACAUUGUGAAAACUGCGCCUUUUGAGGGCCUUUGAACUUAGAAGUGAGAGCGAUGAAAAGGCAUGUGCAGCUUUAAAUAAGUCAGGUUCACAAGCUGGCCUUCUGGGGCUCAGCGGCGCUUUUAUUUUUGCCACUCAUUUCUGAGUCAGGCUCCUCAGCAACCGUGCGAAGCAGAAACCAUAUGCAACAGAGAUGCAGUUGCAACCAAUGAUUGUGGACUUCAUUCACCUGGCAAAGACGUGCUGCCAAGCAGAACAACGCGAAACGUGUUUCUGAGAAGAGGUAUUCCUCUUUCCUCGUCAAUUCUCUUAGCUCCCUUGGGGUUAUUCAAGUUUUAAAAAACUCAUUUCUUCAUUCCCAUCCUGAGUGGAUUAGAAUCACAGUCUAAAUCUGUGAUCUUUAACCUUUUUUUAAUCUCAUGGCACACAUAAACUAGUUACUAAAAUUCUUUGGCAUACCAAUAAUAUAUUUUUUGAUGAUGUGACAAAAAUAGGUAUAAUUUUGAUUCUCUUACAAAAAUAAAACAAUGGUAUUGUAAUGACCUACUCUCUUUGCUCCAAAGUGACUUUUUAAAAAAUUAGGUGCCUGUACCUGUAUAUAAGGAUUUCUUGUACCAAGAAUUAACCAAUAAGACACAAUCUAACUGUGGGACAUGACCAAUAAGAUGCAACUCUAUUAUAUAACCUAUAUACUUACUUAUGGUUCAUUAAAGGGCAUUUACAUUGUUGUCAUAUUUUUUAUUUGGCAAUCUCAGGGAAAAAAGCUCAGUGCCCCUGAUAAAAUAGUCAGGUGUUACACAUUUUAUAAUUUCUUGCAUUGCACAGGUUGAAAAUCCCUGGUCUAGAUGGAUUGAUGUAUUGACUAUAUUUGGGUUUAGGACAUGUUAAUAUUUAUGUGUAUUUGAGGAAACUGGGAGUUUUAAACAUGGUUAGAGAUGAAUACAGGAGUCGUGCCACUGGAUGCACUGUUUAGGACAGGAGGUGAGAAGAAAAAGGAUGAAUCGAAGACUUUGGCAAUUGUAGGGAAAUGUUGUCCUUGGAAAUACAGAGAAAUUUUAAAGAAAUAAGUUUAAAGAUCUGUCUGAGCAAAUUGUAGUUUUAUUCUAAAAAUUUUCCAGGGCACAAUGAGAAAAACUCACAAAAUGGGGUUUGGGGCCGCAUUAGGGAGCCUAAGUGUUUCAUUUUCCCAAGCAGCCAGAAGACGACCAGAUUAGGGUUGGAGAACAGAGAGAGAAAUGAAGAAUUGCCAGAAGAGAGUAUCUAUUUGCACAUACACACCGAACUGACUACCAGAAGACUGUUUUCUGUAAUUAAUCUAAUUGCCUAUAAUUAACAAGUACAUGAUUCUUCAUAAGAUGGUAAGUUUGUGUGACCUAAAUUUUAAAGAAUGUCACGGUGGCCCAGAAUAUUCAUGUAAAUGAAUGGAGAAGACUUGGGAGGACUGCUCUCCUGGGGGCAUGACUUGAGAAGCAGAAACUCGGAAAGGGUAGCUAACAGAAUCUAAGUAGAUAAAUGCAAGAGUAUAGUUUAAAAAAAAAUAAAGCAGUACGUACAGUUAAAACAGGCCAGGGCUGGUUAUGUCUGUGGCUAAGUUUGUUGCGGCCCAAGAAAGUGUUUUUACAGGUAACAAUUUUCAUGAAUGCCUUAAUUAACUUUAGUGGCUCUUUCCUACCUAUUCAGCUAGAUUGUACCUGCACUGCUAUAUUAAAAGUCAUAUAUUUAUGGUCCAGUAAAGAGUAGGCAAAUUACAGCCAUUGGGCUAAAUUGGUUCCACUUCCUGUUUAUGUAAAUAAAGUUUUAUUAGGACGCAGCACGCCCAUUUAUUUACAUAACGUCUACCACUGCUUUCUGUCUAGAGCAGCAGAAUUGAGCUGCUGUUGAAUUAAGUUGUGAGAGAGUCUAUAUGAACUGCAAAGCACCCAAUAUUUACGAUCUGGCUGUUUACAGAAAAAUUUGCUGACUCUCAGACUAGCUGAUACACAAAAUGAAAGUAAUCACCUAUACUAGAAUUCAUUUUUUUUAUUUUAAAGCUUUUUUACUUUUUUGGAAAGCAUUCAGAAAACAUGUUUCCCUGAGUACCAACCCCAUAGCUACACAAAUCAACACUUUUGCUGAAGAGCAUGUGCCUGUGAAUUCCCAAGGGAGUUUUCUUUUUUUUAUCUUUAAAAAAAUUUUAUUUAGUUACUUUUCAAGUACAGUUUUCUGUCUAUUUCUCCCAUCCCAGCCCACCCCACCCCAUGCUCCCCACCUCCCUCCCAUUUCCACCCCCUUAGUUCUUGUCCCUGUGUCCUUCAUACUUGUUCCUCCAAAUCCCUCCCCUUUUUUUGCCCUUAAAUUCCCUCCCCUCUCCCCUCUGGUCACUGUUCCCUUGUUCUCUAUUUCAGUGUCUUUGUUUUUAUUCUGCUUGCUUGUUUAUUUUGUUGUUUAGCUUCCUGUUAAAGGUGAGAUCAUAUGGUAUUUGUCUUUCAACACCUGGCCUAUUUUCACUCAGCAGAGUGCUUUCCAGUUCCAUCCAUGUUGUUGCAAAGGGUAGUAGCUCCUUCUUUCUCUCUGCUGCAUAGAAUUCCACUGUGUAUAUGUACCACAGUUUUUUGAUCCAUUCAUUUACUGAAGGGCACCUAGGUUGCUUCCAACUCUUGGCUAUUGUAAAUUGUGCUGCUAUGAACAUUGUGGUGCAUAGGUUCUUUGAUAUUGAUGUUUUAGGAUUCUUAGGAUAUAAUCCUAGCAGUGGAAUUGCUGGGUCAAAAGGCAGAUCAAUUUUUAUUUUUCUGAGAAAAUUUCAUACUGUUUUCCAUAAUGGUUGUACCAAUCUGCAAUCCCACCGACAGUGAACUAGGGUCCCCUUUUUCCCACAACCUCUCCAACAUUUGUUGUUUGUUGCUUUGUUUAUGAUAGCCAUCCUGACUGGUAUAAAGUGGUGUCUCAUUGUGAUUUUAAUUUGCAUCUCUCUGAUAGCUAGCGAUAUUGAGCAUCUCUUCAUGUGUCUCUGGAUCUUCUGUAUGUCCUUCUUGGAGAAGUGUCCAAGGGAGUUUUCUCAAAGCAUUCUUGUCCUUGGGUAUAAACACUACUUGCUGGAACUAAUACAUCAAUAGCACGAUAUGAUUUCUGUGUGCUUUUUUCCACACUUUUUGCCUAAUAGCAGCCUUCAACUUAGUGGUUGAAGAGCCCAGAUAUUUUUUCUUUUCCUCCCCUUUCUUUUUUAUUUUCUUAUACAGUUUCUCCCCAAAGUAAAGGAGAUAAUAGAAGUUAUCUGCAAAAUGUAUCAUGUUAAUUAAAGUUUUCUAGAAUUACUUCUUGAAAUAAAAAUGCUUGUUAUAUGUAAUUAUGCAUUCUCUCUAAAGCCUGGUCAAAUUUACUUUUGGAUGAUUUGUCUAAGGCAUGACUCUGAAAUUGCAGUCUACAUCAGAAUCCCUUGCAGGGCUUAUUAAAACCGAAUGAAUGUUUUCACCCACAGGCCGUCUGAGUCAGAAGAUCUGGGGUGGGGUCUGAUAAGAUACUUUCUAACAAGUUCCCAGGCACUGCCGAUGCUGCAGGUUUGGGGACCCCUUUAAGAGCCGGUAUUCUAAGGUGAGAGCAGAUAAUCAUCAACUGUUCUCCCACUCCUGCCAAUAUUUUCAUAUGUCUAUCUGUCAGUGAGAAGUUGGAACCGAGGACAGUAACAUAAAUAAUAAAGCAAUUGGAAGAAUAACAGGUUUAUUUUUAAAAUGAGAUGUUUUUGGAUAUUAAAUAUAAAGAUUAGGCUGCAAUAUUAAAAAAUAACUGUAAAGAAAUAGGCUUAGAAAAUAUUGGAAUAGAUGAUCAAGAUAUUUUGGAAUUUUGUCAUCAAGAACUUGUGUAAGUCCUUGUUCUUCUGUUUGUGGAAGGGCUCUAGGUCUGACCUGUUAUAAAGGGACAGUAGUGAGUGGCCUCGGGAGUCUCUUUGGAGCCACAGUUCCAGAAGCAAAGAGGCUCAGCCGUCUGUCAGUCUGUAGAUGUUCCAAGUCAGGGUAAAAGGCUAACUGCUCCAGGGACCUUCAGGCAUUUUCUUUGUUUGCUUUUCUGAGAUUAUAAUGGUCAGGUAUGUAAACCUGUUCUGCCGGUUAGAUGAGAGUGUGAACAGGUUUGAAGAUAGCCUUUCUAGCUAUGGCUAUUGGGAAGAUGAAACAUUUUUAGAUAAGAUGGAAGCCAUAUUUUGAGAGGUAAGCCAGAGUGAAGGACAGUUCUAAAGAGGAGAAAAGUGAACCCAAGUCAGUGUUGGAUGGAAUGUUGGCAAGAAUAAGGAAGGAAUAAAAUAAGAAACUUAGCUAUACAGAGUGAAUAUGGAUCGUGCAAAGAAAAGGCAGUUCACAUUUUAGGAAAUAAUAAUGUGAACUGCAGACAUCAGCAGGUUCAAAGAGAAAAUUCCAUCUCCCAUUUCAGUGAGGAGUGGUAAUUAUAACCUGAGAUAUUUAUCUAGCAAUGAAGAGAAUGUAAUAUAGAAGAAAGUUACCAUGAAUUAGCAGAAAUUUGGGCACAUUAAAGUGAUGGUUUGAAAAUAACACAUGAAUUUUUUUAAUCCUCGCCAAGAGAUAUGUUUAUUGAUUUUAGAGAGAAAAGAAGUUGGGGGAGACAGAAAGGGGGAGACAGAGAGAGGGAGAGAGAAACAAGAAACAUUGAUUGAUUGUCUCCUGCACACGCCACGACUGGGGAUUGAACCCUCAACCUAGGUAUGUGCCCUGCAGGAAUCAAACUCACAACCUUUGGGUGUAUGGGACGAUGCUCCAACCAACUGAGCCACCCAGCCAAGGCAUGAAAAUAACACAUGAAAUGAAACAACAAAAAUUGAGAAAAAAAAGGUCUGCUUUUAGAUGUGACUUAACACAAGUUCAUGUGAAAAGACCUGUUGUUUUAAGUCCUCUAUACUUACAACCUGAUGAGUCUACUAUCAAAACAGCUGCAACCUUUGGGGUGCAUUUCUGAGAAAAAAAGCAAGUUCCAAGUUAAGCAAUGUGAUGGCCCCAUCCUGUAUGGAUUGAGUGUUUCCGGGUUACUCUGUUCAGUUUCCUAUGACACAUUACUCAGGUGUUGAAAAGUGUGUACAUAAUACAGGAACAUGAUAAAAGUUCUAACAGAAGAUCAAGGCAUGUUUCCCAUUCCCAAAAGGCAAUGACUUUAUUUGCUUUUUUUUUGACAUUUAAAUUUGUCUUCUAAUUUGCUUUCUUUUUUCUUUUUUAAUGGAAUUUAUUGGGGUAACAUUUGUUCACAAAACCAUACAAGUUUCAAUAGAACAUCAUCUGCACAUUAUAUCAUGCACCCAUCACCCCAUGCAAAGCCUCUCUUCUCAUUUCCCCCACCCCUUGCCCACUUUCACUUAUCCCCCACCAAUUUUAAAUUUUCACUUUUCAUUUUCCUAGUUAUUACAAUCAUCACUUUAAAGGUUUCUGAAAAUAUUACCAUAUUAAAGAAUAUAGUGUACAGUGUAGUUAAGCCAUCUUCAACAACUGUUCCUACAGACUCUUUCUCAAGCAUUUUUUAAAAGUAUUUUUAGUUCUUAUAUUGGUUGUAUUCUAUUUAUUGGUCUCUCAACUUCAGUCAACAUUUGAUAAUUCUCUAAAACAUAAUUAGCAUGUAAAUUUCCUUUGAUUUAUUUGCCAGCUUUCCUUUAUAAAGCUAUAACAUUACUUUUACAUUGUCUGGAUUUAUUCAUCCUGUGUUGUAAACAUAAGAACUAUAUAUUUUGUUAAUAGGUUAGUGCUAAAAACUGGAAACCAUUAAAUAGUAUAUUCAGUAAUUCUUUUACUUGAAAUAUUAUUCACAGAAGUACCAUGAAUGAAUUGACCCAUAGGUUAAUGGCUUAUCAUGCAUCCCCUACAAGGAAAUCUCUUUACUUACCUACCGUCAAGUGCAGAAAAUCAUGCCUUGUUUAUUUAAUUUGAAUAUUUGGACUAUGAUUUUCUAGCAUAUUCUUUCCGAGUGUCUAAUUGCCUCCUUUUUCUAUGUUGAAAAAUAAAGUGCCCACUUUUAUUACAUCAUUAAAAUAUUUCAGGUUCUUAAUCAUAUAGUCUUCGAAAUAGAAAAUUCUAGGAGAAGGUUGUGGCAGGGACUCAAGAUGGUAACUAAGGGCUGCUCUCCUGAGUGAGUGGACUGGGACUCAGGAGGAUGUAACUAAAGUCCGGACUCCGGAGUGAGAAGGGCAGAGACUCAGAAGAGAGAAAAAAGGAUGAGAGAGAGAGAAACAUCAGUGUGGGGUUGCCUCUCGUGAGCCCCCUACAGGGAACCUGGCCUGCAACCCACGCAUGCGCCCUCACUGGGAAUCGACCCAGAGAGACCCCUUGCUUCACAGGCUGGCACUCAAUUUCCUUGAGCCACACCAGCCAGGGAAAAAACAGCUUGAACAUUUCUCCAUGGAAUAGGAAACUAUCUGGAUGAUUGAGAAGGCCACAGCAUUGAGCAGCUGGUGAUUGGCAGCUUCAUCACAACAACAGGCCCAAUUGUGCAUCACAUCUCAGGAAGAGUGUUCUGGCAAAACAUCAAAUCACCCAGGUGUCUCAGCCCCCCUACAUCCCCUAUCUGGCACCCCAUGACUCCUGGAUUUUCCCAGAACUAAAAUCACCUUUGAAAGGGAAGAGAUUUCAGACUGUUGAUGAGAUUCAGGAAAACACAAUGGGGCAGCUGAUGGCGACUGGGAGAACUGUGUGAGAUCCCAAGGUGCCUACUUUGAAGGGGACUCAGGUGUCAUUGUCCUAUGUACAAUGUUUCUUAUAUCUUGUAUUUUCUUCAAUAAAUAUUUCUAUUUUCCAUAAAAAAAAGAAAAUUCUAUUAUUUUAAAGCUAUAUUUCAGAAAGUUCUCUGAUUUAGUCUUUCAGUUGAAUCUAGUUAUUCCUCACACUGACUCGUGGCUGUCCACGUGGGUUUUUUUUUUUCAGUGUAAUUCUGGGUAAAUUUGAUUAUUUGUAAAAUCCUAGUCGUGUCUUUUCUUAGAAUCUUAUAAGUUUUGGUGGGCUGUAUUCGUGUGUGUGGAUGUGUAUGCAUAUACAUAUGUAUAUGUUUUUUCAGAUGUUCACAUGGGAGAAAAGCUUUCUGGUCCUUGUGUUUUUGCUUAGUUAAGUAACUAAUUAAUUAAUUAAUUUUUGAUUGGUGACUUCUAAAAAAAAUUUACUUAUUGAUUUUUGGAGAGAGAGGAAGGGGGAAGAGAGAGAGAAACAUUUAUUUGUUGUUUCAUUUAUUUAUGCCUUCAUUGGUUAAUUUUUGUGUACGUCUUGACUAGGAAUUGAACCCACAACUUUGGUGUGUAUGGCUGAUGCUCUAACCAGUUGAGUUACCCAGCUAGGAUGGUUCUUGUAUUUUUAAAUAUUAUUUUGUUCAUAUUUCUGCACUGUAUUUUUGCUGGUAGGUCGGUUGGGAUUCUUUAGUUGUAAAUAAUAGGAUCAAAUUCUAGCUAACCCAAGUAAAAAUUAGUUUAUUGAAAGGAUAAUAGUGGCUUUAGGAAUCUUUAGGAAGCUUGAAAAAUGAGCUUGACAGCAGACAAGAACAAAAGCAUCUCAGAAUCAAUGGCUUUCUGGGUUUUUAAUGCUGAUACAUCUCCUAUUUCCGUACUUUGGUAUAUCAGUUAAUCAUGCCAAUGCCUUUCUUUUUCUUUUCCAUAAGUUCAUCAACAUCUCUUACAUUGAUGUGCUUUUUCUAUCAUCAAUAAGGCUGGCUUUAUUCUUUUACUUUUCUGUAUAUUUUUACUGCUACUGAAUGGAAUUUUGGAUGAGAUGAAAAACAACACAUUUAAAAAGAACAUUGACAAAUUAUGUCAGAAGAGUAUCUAGAAUAGAAAAAAGGAUGAAAAAGCAUGUCCCAAGGGAUACAGGGAAAAAGGCUGGUAAUGCCUAUCUGGAAGCCUUAGGGUGGGUGACUGUUAGCAGCUGCCCAGCAUGUCCAGGGUUAUGGGGAAUCAAAGAGUGGCUGACUUGGUCUCAGUGUAGGAAAGAUGCUUCCUCUUUUCUCUGUUAUCUACACUCCCUCAGAUGAGUCUGUGUUUUGUGUUUCAAAAUCUUGCUUGGGCCUUACCUCAAAAUGUGGAGUUAUCCUCACUUCUUUUCUCAUUCAGGCCAUUCUUCAAUAUCAUCAUAAUUUUCUCCAAUGUCUUCCUUCUACUUUAUCUUUGCCCCAAACUCUCUUCCCCCCAGCAUUGUUUAUCAUAACAAAUUAGAAAUUUACCAAGAAAGUAGGGAAUAAAUAAGGUCAGGAAGGAUUGAUGGGAGAAAAAUGUGUUGCCCCAUUAUUGUUAGGUUCAGAGAAAAUGACUAAGAUUAAAUAUGAGUGUCUUGAGAUUGCUUAUGGGAAAAUUUCCCAUGGAGAUUUAUUUUAAAAGUCAUAGUUUACCAAAGAAAUGAAGAUGCAUAAAAUCAGCAGAAUUUUUAAAAAUGAACCUAAAUGGAGUCCAUUCUCUGUAGAUGACUUAGGUGUGGUACUGUUUGAGGGUAGCUGAUGUUGGUUGUCCAUUUUUGCCCCAAAAGCAUCUCGUAUUUUUGUGAGGAGGCAGAAAAUUUUUAUGUAUUCCAAGUCUGGGGUUCGAAAAGUGGGAGAGGCAUUGCAGUUAAUUAACUCAUUAAGCCAAGGGAAUCGGCCUGUGAGAAAUUCUAAGGCAUUGAGAAGCAGGCACCUCAGAGUCCAACUCAGGCUUAUAAUAAGGAAGUCUUAAAGAUUUUCUACUUGGAGAUCAGAGCUGUUUAAAACUUUUUGUUUGUUUAUAUGUUUUUCCCUCUCUCACAGAUGUGAUUACUUGCCUUUUUCUUUAUGAGUGUAAACUGAUGGAAAAGUGCCAGUAUCUCUUAGGAGGCUAAAUGAUUCCAGAAAAUGUUGCUGAGGCUACACUUUGUUUUUUCAUGUAUAGUGAAACCCAUGUCUAAUAUUCAAAAUAACACAAGAAUCAACAAAGUUAUUUUUCAGCAACUCUCAAUGUUAUACAAGAACAGUAGCCACUCAAUGCUAAAUCUCCCCUUUCACACUAAGAAGAGAAAUCUACUUAUGGUAACCCCUCUACAAUCUACUUUAUUCUUCCUUCUCCCCAUAAGCUUUCUGUUUAGAAAGCUCUGUUUAGAGCGGCAGAAGUAUGAAAUUAAGGGGCCUUUGAAAAGCCUCAGAUUGGUGUAAUGGGCUUCCACAUCCACUGGAAACUGGCUGCUGGAUGUUUAGAGUAGAAAGGACCCCAAGCAACUGGAGUUUCUGUCUACACCACUUCAAAAAUGACAAUUGAAGAACUGAAUAAAAUGUGCUUUGUAAAAAAGUUAACUUCAUAAUAAUUUUGCCUUUCACGUUUACCCUAUAUACAUGAUUCUGACAUUAGACACAAAGGGUCCUAAUAUAUUUAAACUAAAUUGAGCUUUCAGUGGUAAUUUAAAAGCCUUUUCCCUGGAAAGGGAGGCAUAAAAUGACAUAAAGAAGUUAUCACAGACUUUUUACUUUUCCAGAUAUUUCUGUGUACUAAAAAACAAACAGUAAUAUUUUAGUGUUUACUAAAUAAGUGGAUUAUUUUUAUUAGAGAAAAAUGUAAUUCUCAUUAUAGUGUCCUUUACUUGAUUUUAAAUAUUUUUGCUCACUCUAGUGAUUUCAACAUGUUUAUAUACACUAGCAACUUAAAUCUAAUGAACAUUUAUAAGUAACUAUUAUGUUCAAUAUGUUGGCUAACUAAUACAGAGAAUAACAUGAAUAUGAUAAGACCAGAUCACUAAUGAAUUCAUAAUGAUAUAAACACAUAAGGAAUUAUAAUAAAAGGCAAGUUUCUAAUUUCUGGUGUCACAAGAGCAGCACUGACUGAUAACAUGAUGCACAGGAGUUUUUGAUCACACAUUGUCACUGAGGGCAAAAAAUGGGCAGGCAUAGUUUCAAAAGAGAGAGAUGUGGUAGAGUUGGGGUAUUUCAAGCAGUAAUAAGUUAGUUUUUUUAAUAUAUGUUUUUUAAUAUAUGUUACAGUCCCAAUUUUCCUCUUUACCCCCUCUGCCCAGUACCCCCAUUCCCUCCAACAAUCCCCCCGCUUAGUUCAUGUCCAUGGGUCAUGCAUGUAAGUUCUUUGGCUUCUCCAUUCCCUAUACUGUUCUUAACAAUCCCCAGUUUAUUUCGUACCUGCCAAUUUGUGCUUCUUAAUCCUGCACCAUUUCUUCCAUUCUCCCUCUUCCCCCUCGCAGCUGAUAAUCCUCCAAAUGAUCUCCAUACCUAUGAUUCUGUCCUAUCCUGGCUUGUUUGCUUAAUUUGUUUUUUAAAUUCAAUUCUUAAUAGUUACAAAUUUGUUGCCAUUUUAAUGUUCAUAGUUGUUAUCUUAUUUUUCUUAUAUAGUUUUUUACAUUCAUGUAAAUAUGGCUUGGUGUUGAUGAACUCCUUUAGCUUUACCUUGUCUGGGAAGCACUUCAUCUUCUCUUUCAUUCCAAAUGAUAGCUUUUCUGGAUAGAGUAAUCUGGCGUAAUCCUUGCUUUUCAUCACUUUGAAAACUUGCCAUUCCCUUCUAGCCUGCAAGGUUUCUUUUGAGAAAUCAGCUGACAGUCUUAUGGGGACUCCUUUGUAGGUGAUUCUCUGCUUUUCUCUUGCUGCUUUUAAUAUUCUUUCUUUAUAUCUAAGGUUUGGCAUUUUAAUUAUGAUGUGUCUUGGUGUGUUCAUCUUUUGGUCCAAAUGUUUGGGACUCUCUGUGCUUCCUGGACUUGUAUAUAUAUUUUCUUCACCAAAUUAAGGUAGUUUUCUUCCAUUAUUUUUUAAAAUAAGUUUUUGAUUUCUUGCUCUUCCUCUUCUCUUUCUCGCAUCCCUAUGAUUCAGGUGUUGGUACAUUUGGAGAUGUCCCAGAGGUUCCUUAGCGUAGCCUCAUUUUUUUUAAAUUCUUUUUUCUUCUUGCUGUUUUGAUUGAAUGCUUUUUUUCUUCCUUAUGUUCCAAAUUGUUGAUUUGAUUGUUGGCUUCAUCCCCUCCACUGUUGUUCCUUGUAGAUUUUUCUUUAUUUCACUUAACAUAACUUUCAUUUUUGCCUGAGUUUUUUAUAUGCUGUUGUGUACUUGGUGAGUUUUUUGAACAUCCUAAUAACUAGUGUUUUGAACUCUGCAUUUGAUAGGUAGGUUUUCUCUGUUUCAUUUAAUUCUUUUUCUUUUGUUCUCUUCUUUUAUCUGUGCCACAUUUCUUUGUCUCCUCAAUUUGGCAGCCUCUCUGUGUUUGUUUCUUUGUAUUAGAUAGAGAUGCUUUGACUCCCUGUUUUAGUAGCAUGGCCUAUUGUAGAAAAGGCCCCUGCACAUUGUAUGGGGUGGAGCCUUAGAUAAUCACCAGGGUGAGGCAGCCUGUUUCACAGCUUCGUGACUCUAUGUGGGGGAGGGUUGAGAGAGGGGACAAUGCUGCUGCCUAGGCUGCCUGUGCUCUGGAGAUUUGCCUGGGAGGAAGCUAUCUCCUGGCACUUGCCCUAUUGCCAGUUUACUUCACUUUCUCCUGCAUGCCACUUGUGCCCUUCCAACUGUUGCCCUGGUGCUGAAUCCGAGAGAGAGUGAGUCUGUGUAAGCCCCGAAGACCUUUUCAGGCUCCUUAAAAGGAGUCUCUUGAGACUCCUGCAGUUUCUUCUGCUGCCUUACCCCCUGCCCCCCCCCCCCCAGUUUUUACAUCCAGAAAUUAUGGGGACUUAUAUUCCUGGUGGUGGAACCCGGGACUGGACAGUCUGGUUUGGGGCUAGGAUCACUCACUCUCGAGGUAUCCCUCCUGAUUUUUAUCCACCACACAUGAAUGUAGGACUUCCCAUUCUACUGCCUCUCCACGCUACCCUGUGGUUUGCCCCUCCUAUCCAUGUAGAUGAACAUGGCUACUGUAAAUCCCUGGUUGCUGG